UGGGCUGACGUAGAGAAAAAUGGCGAUUUGCCGAUUUGACGGAUUUGUUAACAUUUUUGGGGCGUUUUUUAGUCAAGCGGUGUAGAAAACAUGGUCCCCUCGCAGUUCCACAAGGCUGUACAAGCGUACAUGAAUGCCGACUUAUUUAUUCUUAUAUGUAGCCUGAAACUGCUAGGUAUACAUUUUGCCAAAACGCCAAAACGUCAUCUUUUGCUACCUGAAUACCUGCUACAAGUUUCGUCAGAAACACUUCAGAACAACUGAAGUAUGUAGUACUAAAGAUUAGACAGAUGAAGUCUGAGCUUCCACGGUGCAGCCUAAUGUUCAUAUGGAUUUCAUUAAGACAGCCAGUGAAAGGUGUCAUAUUGAGCUGUUGCAUUCUGUGGUGCCGGUGUUAUCCUGAAGCGUAAAGGAGCUCUAUGCUUUAAAUGUUGACCUUAAAUGUUAUGGGAUUGCUCAUGUCUGAAUUGAUGUUGGACCAAAAUGUAUGAUGUAGAAGUAAAAGAACCUGAAAAAUGCAGACAAGGAUAUUGGAAAUGUGGAAAUUUAAAUCUCUUGCCACCAGGUGAUCAACAAAGGAGCCACAACCUACAAGAUAUUGUAAUGAUUUGUCAGCCAGGUUAAGUUGAAGCUGUUUGCUGUUGCCUUGCCAUGCUUGCUGCUUGCUAACUGCAUAAACUGGGAAGUUAUCUUUUUUUGCACAUUUACAACAGCUUGAUAAUUGUUUUUGUUUUAUAUCUGAUUUUUUCAUAGGUUUCCCACUAUUUGUUGAUGUUUCAGGUAUGACCGAAAUUGCCUGUGGUGUUGCAGUCCAAUGUGCUGAUGCCCGCCUGUUCCCUGGUUUAAGUAGUACUUAAACAAAAUCGAAUUUACGAUGGAGGUCAUUUUUCCGUUUUUGUUUAGUGGACUCACUAAGUGUGUUUUCUGUGUCGCUAUGGAAGUGAUUUGAGGAAAAUGUUUGUUUUGUUCUGUUGUUUUCUCGGAAGAAUUUAUGAUGUCCUAGGUGGCUAGGUUUACUUCGAAUGGGAAAUGAUUGUGACAUCUGAUUUGUGACAAACCCAUAUGAAGCGUUUAAUUGGUUGUAACUAGAAUGCACGUCAAAUAUGUAAAUGACCUGUAAACGUUCUGAAAUGCGCGUAAGGUGGGAAUGUUAAGUUAGGUAAAAGUUAGGUCAAUACGUGAAUUUUUUAAAUGAAGGAAUAAAGGAAGUUUCGACGCGGAAAUAAGGAAUUGAAUCCAAAACAAUUGUUUCCGGGUAGCUCAUUUUAUUUAAUUACAACUGAUAAAUGUAAAAUAACAUACUGCAAAAUUAAAUCAGAAUUUCUAUACCCUUAGACGAAAUAUUUAACUAUUUUAAUAAUAAUUAUAACUAAAUAUAAUCAGUCUUCAAUUGCA